UUUAAAUGGCCGCAGUAUACUAACUGUGCAAAGGUAGCAUAAUCAUUAGUCUUUUAAUUGAAGGCUGGUAUGAAUGGUUGGACGAAAUAUUAACUGUUUCAUGAAAAUUUAUAAUAGAAUUUUAUUUUUUAGUCAAAAAGCUAAAAUAAAAUUAAAAGACGAGAAGACCCUAUAAAUCUUUAUAUAUAGAUUAUUAGAAUUUUGUAGAUUUUUUUUAUUAUAAUAAUUAAUUGUAUUUUAUUGGGGUGAUAUUAAAAUUUAAUAAACUUUUAAUUUUAAAAAAUCAUUAAUUUAUGAAUAAUUGAUCCGUUAAUAACGAUUAAAAAAAUAAGUUACUUUAGGGAUAACAGCGUAAUUUUUUUGGAGAGUUCAUAUCGAUAAAAAAGAUUGCGACCUCGAUGUUGGAUUAAGAUAUAAUUUUAGGUGUAGCCGCUUAAAUUUUAAGUCU
rnacentral:rRNA from 1 species